rnacentral:rRNA from 1 species
UACGUAGGCCCCAAGCGUUAUCCGGAAUUACUGGGCGUAAAGUGCGCGUAGGCGUUUUUGUAAGUCGGUCGUUAAAUCUCACAGCUUAACUGUGAGACCGCGAGCGAUACUACAAGAAUUGAGUUUUGCAGGGGCUAGCAGAAUUUCUGGAGUAGGGGUGAAAUCCGUUGAUACCAGAAGGAAUACCAAUGGCGAAGGCAGCUAGCUGGGCAAUAACUGACGCUGAGGUGCGAAAGCGUGGGGAGCAAACAGG